GAUGAGCGCUGACAGAAUGCUUAACACAUGCAAGUCCACUUGAAUUUGGGUUUUUAACUUAGGUUUGGGUGGCGGACGGGUGAGUAACGCGUAAAGAACUUGCCUCACAGCUAGGGACAACAUUUGGAAACGAAUGCUAAUACCUAAUAUUAUGAUAAUAGGGCAUCCUAUAAUUAUGAAAGCUAUAAGCGCUGUGAGAGAGCUUUGCGUCCCAUUAGCUAGUUGGAGAGGUAACGGCUCACCAAGGCGAUGAUGGGUAGCCGGCCUGAGAGGGUGAUCGGCCACAAGGGGACUGAGACACGGCCCUUACUCCUACGGGAGGCAGCAGUGGGGAAUAUUGGACAAUGGACCAAGAGUCUGAUCCAGCAAUUCUGUGUGCACGAUGAAGUUUUUCGGAAUGUAAAGUGCUUUCAGUUGGGAAGAAAGAAAUGACGGUACCAACAGAAGAAGUGACGGCUAAAUACGUG
rnacentral:rRNA from 1 species